GUAUUUCAUUUUGGUAGUACAUUCACGAUAAUGGGAACAAUACAGAGAAGAUUAGCAUGGCUUCUUGACAGGGAUGGCAUACAGAUUCAUGAAAGGUGACAAAUAUUU
rnacentral:snRNA from 1 species